UGCAAGUCGAGCGGUAAGGCCCUUUCGGGGGUACACGAGCGGCGAACGGGUGAGUAACACGUGGGUGACCUGCCCUCCACUCUGGGAUAAGCCCGGGAAACUGGGUCUAAUACCGGAUAGGACCAUUGAUCGCAUGGUUGGUGGUGGAAAGUUUUUUCGGUGGGGGAUGGGCCCGCGGCCUAUCAGCUUGUUGGUGGGGUGAUGGCCUACCAAGGCGGUGACGGGUAGCCGGCCUGAGAGGGCGACCGGCCACACUGGGACUGAGACACGGCCCAGACUCCUACGGGAGGCAGCAGUGGGGAAUAUUGCGCAAUGGGCGGAAGCCUGACGCAGCGACGCCGCGUGGGGGAUGACGGCCUUCGGGUUGUAAACCUCUUUCGCCAGGGACGAAGAGCAAUUGACGGUACCUGGAGAAGAAGCACCGGCCAACUACGUGCCAGCAGCCGCGGUAACACGUAGGGUGCGAGCGUUGUCCGGAAUUAUUGGGCGUAAAGAGCUCGUAGGCGGUGUGUCGCGUCGGCCGUGAAAACUUGGGGCUUAACUCUGAGCGUGCGGUCGAUACGGGCAUCACUUGAGUUCGGCAGGGGAGACUGGAAUUCCUGGUGUAGCGGUGAAAUGCGCAGAUAUCAGGAGGAACACCGGUGGCGAAGGCGGGUCUCUGGGCCGAUACUGACGCUGAGGAGCGAAAGCGUGGGGAGCGAACAGGAUUAGAUACCCUGGUAGUCCACGCCGU
rnacentral:rRNA from 1 species